GACGAACGCUGGCGGCGUGCUUAACACAUGCAAGUCGAACGGAAAGGCCCUGCUUUUGUGGGGUGCUCGAGUGGCGAACGGGUGAGUAACACGUGAGUAACCUGCCCUUGACUUUGGGAUAACUUCAGGAAACUGGGGCUAAUACCGGAUAGGAGCUCCUGCUGCAUGGUGGGGGUUGGAAAGUUUCGGCGGUUGGGGAUGGACUCGCGGCUUAUCAGCUUGUUGGUGGGGUAGUGGCUUACCAAGGCUUUGACGGGUAGCCGGCCUGAGAGGGUGACCGGCCACAUUGGGACUGAGCUGCGGCCCAGACUCCUACGGGAGGCAGCAGUGGGGAAUAUUGCACAAUGGGCGGAAGCCUGAUGCAGCAACGCCGCGUGCGGGAUGACGGCCUUCGGGUUGUAAACCGCUUUCGCCUGUGACGAAGCGUGAGUGACGGUAAUGGGUAAAGAAGCACCGGCUAACUACGUG
rnacentral:rRNA from 1 species